rnacentral:rRNA from 1 species
UACGAAGGGGGCUAGCGUUGCUCGGAAUCACUGGGCGUAAAGGGUGCGUAGGCGGGUCUUUAAGUCAGGGGUGAAAUCCUGGAGCUCAACUCCAGAACUGCCUUUGAUACUGAAGAUCUUGAGUUCGGGAGAGGUGAGUGGAACUGCGAGUGUAGAGGUGAAAUUCGUAGAUAUCAGGAAGAACACCUAUGGCGAAGGCAGCUCUCUGGGACGGUACUGACGCUGAGACGCGAAAGCGUGGGGAGCGAACAGG